rnacentral:rRNA from 1 species
UUCCUUGAACCGCAUGGUUCAAGGAUGAAAGACGGUUUCGGCUGUCACUUACAGAUGGACCCGCGGCGCAUUAGCUAGUUGGUGGGGUAAUGGCUCACCAAGGCGACGAUGCGUAGCCGACCUGAGAGGGUGAUCGGCCACACUGGGACUGAGACACGGCCCAGACUCCUACGGGAGGCAGCCCCUUAGUAGGGAAUCUUCCGCAAUGGACGAAAGUCUGACGGAGCAACGCCGCGUGAGUGAUGAAGGUUUUCGGAUCGUAAAGCUCUGUUGUUAGCGGAAGAACAAGUGCGAGAGUAACUGCUCGCACCUUGACGGUACCUAACCAGAAAGCCACGGCUAACUACGUGCCAGCAGCCGCGGUAAUACGUAGGUGGCAAGCGUUGUCCGGAAUUAUUGGGCGUAAAGGGCUCGCAGCGCGGUUUCUUAAGUCUGAUGUGAAAGCCCCCGGCUCAACCGGGGAGGGUCAUUGGAAACUGGGAAACUUGAGUGCAGAAGAGGAGAGUGGAAUUCCACGUGUAGCGGUGAAAUGCGUAGAGAUGUGGAGGAACACCAGUGGCGAAAGCGACUCUCUGGUCUGUAACUGACGCU